rnacentral:lncRNA from 1 species
CUUGGACUGAGCUCCAAGGGUGGACGUUCCCUCCCUCGAGGAAUCCCGAGUUGUAAAAAGAGCCACUGAGGUCCAGUCCUGCCAGAGAACAGCCUUAGGGAACAGUCCAGCCCUUCAGUGAGGAAGUGACAGACUUCCAGUCCUAGUAUUCGAGACUGCAUUGCUCAUUGUAUCCAGAGGAACAAGCUGCUCUCUCAGAUCCAAAGUCUUGAAAGGUCUUGCCUACCCAAGAAAAUGACACCCC